rnacentral:rRNA from 1 species
GCUAUAAUGCAAGUCGAGCGAAUGGAUUGAGAGCUUGCUCUCAUGAAGUUAGCGGCGGACGGGUGAGUAACACGUGGGUAACCUGCCCAUAAGACUGGGAUAACUCCGGGAAACCGGGGCUAAUACCGGAUAACAUUUUGAACUGCAUGGUUCGAAAUUGAAAGGCGGCUUCGGCUGUCACUUAUGGAUGGACCCGCGUCGCAUUAGCUAGUUGGUGAGGUAACGGCUCACCAAGGCAACGAUGCGUAGCCGACCUGAGAGGGUGAUCGGCCACACUGGGACUGAGACACGGCCCAGACUCCUACGGGAGGCAGCAGUAGGGAAUCUUCCGCAAUGGACGAAAGUCUGACGGAGCAACGCCGCGUGAGUGAUGAAGGCUUUCGGGUCGUAAAACUCUGUUGUUAGGGAAGAACAAGUGCUAGUUGAAUAAGCUGGCACCUUGACGGUACCUAACCAGAAAGCCACGGCUAACUACGUGCCAGCAGCCGCGGUAAUACGUAGGUGGCAAGCGUUAUCCGGAAUUAUUGGGCGUAAAGCGCGCGCAGGUGGUUUCUUAAGUCUGAUGUGAAAGCCCACGGCUCAACCGUGGAGGGUCAUUGGAAACUGGGAGACUUGAGUGCAGAAGAGGAAAGUGGAAUUCCAUGUGUAGCGGUGAAAUGCGUAGAGAUAUGGAGGAACACCAGUGGCGAAGGCGACUUUCUGGUCUGUAACUGACACUGAGGCGCGAAAGCGUGGGGAGCAAACAGGAUUAGAUACCCUG